UACGAAGGGGGCUAGCGUUGUUCGGAAUUACUGGGCGUAAAGCGCACGUAGGCGGAUAUUUAAGUCAGGGGUGAAAUCCCAGAGCUCAACUCUGGAACUGCCUUUGAUACUGGGUAUCUCGAGUAUGGAAGAGGUGAGUGGAAUUCCGAGUGUAGAGGUGAAAUUCGUAGAUAUUCGGAGGAACACCAGUGGCGAAGGCGGCUCACUGGUCCAUUACUGACGCUGAGGCACGAAAGCGUGGGGAUCAAACAGG
rnacentral:rRNA from 1 species